rnacentral:rRNA from 1 species
UACGGGGCGCNNNNGGCGCCAAAACUUUACAAUGCUGGCAACAGCGAUAAGGGAACCUCGAGUGCCAGGUUACAAAUCUGGCUGUCGAGAUGCCUAAAAAGCAUUUCAUAGCAAGGGCCGGGCAAGACCGGUGCCAGCCGCCGCGGUAACACCGGCGGCUNGAGUGGUAACCGUUAUUAUUGGGUCUAAAGGGUCUGUAGCCGGCCGGAUAAGUCUCUUGAGAAAUCUGGCAGCUUAACUGUCAGGCUUUCAGGAGAUACUGUCUGGCUCGAGGCCGGGAGAGGUGAGAGGUACUUCAGGGGUAGGGGUGAAAUCUUGUAAUCCUUGAAGGACCACCAGUGGCGAAGGNGNCUCACCAGAACGGACCUGACGGCAAGGGACGAAAGCUAGGGGCACGAACCGGAUUAGAUACCCGGGUAGUCCUAGCCGUAAACGAUACUCGCUAGGUGUCGGCCACGGUGCGACCGUUGUCGGUGCCGUAGGGAAGCCGUGAAGCGAGCCACCUGGGAAGUACGGCCGCAAGGCNGAAACUUAAAGGAAUUGGCGGGGGAGCACCACAACGGGUGGAGCUUGCGGUUUAAUUGGAUUCAACGCCGGAAAUCUUACCGGGACCGACAGCAAUAUGAAGGCCAGGCUGAAGACUUUGCCGGAUUAGCUGAGAGGUGGUGCNUGGCCGUCGUCAGUUCGUACUGUGAAGCAUCCUGUUAAGUCAGGCAACGAGCGAGACCCACGCCCACAGUUGCCAGCGUACUCUCUGGAGUGACGGGUACACUGUGGGGACCGCCGCUGCUAAAGCGGAGGAAGGAAUGGGCAACGGUAGGUCAGUAUGCCCCGAAUAUCCCGGGCUACACGCGAGCUACAAUGGUUGGUACAAUGGGUAUCUAGCCCGAAAGGGGACGGGAAUCUCCUAAAACCAAUCUUAGUUCGGAUUGAGGGCUGCAACUCGCCCUCAUGAAGCUGGAAUCCGUAGUAAUCCGGUUUCAACAGAACGCGGUGAAUACGUCCCUNNUCCUUGCACACACCG